rnacentral:rRNA from 1 species
UUGACGGGGGAGCACCACGAACGGGUGGAGCUUGUCGGUUUAAUUGGAUUCAACGCCGGAAAUCUUACCGGGACCGACAGCAAUAUGAAGGCCAGGCUGAAGACUUUGCCGGAUUAGCUGAGAGGUGGUGCAUGGCCGUCGUCAGUUCGUACUGUGAAGCAUCCUGUUAAGUCAGGCAACGAGCGAGACCCACGCCCACAGUUGCCAGCGUACUCUCUGGAGUGACGGGUACACUGUGGGGACCGCCGCUGCUAAAGCGGAGGAAGGAAUGGGCAACGGUAGGUCAGUAUGCCCCGAAUAUCCCGGGCUACACGCGAGCUACAAUGGUUGGUACAAUGGGUAUCUACCCCGAAAGGGGACGGGAAUCUCCUAAAACCAAUCUUAGUUCGGAUUGAGGGCUGCAACUCGCCCUCAUGAGGCUGGAAUCCGUAGUAAUCGCGUUUCAACAGAACGCGGUGAAUACGUCCCUGCUCCUU